AUUGAAGAAAUGUUUAAUGAAUAUAUUUUAAAAAUUUACAUUAAACAAAAAAAAAAAUGCAGUCAUAAAAAACAUAAGAAAAAGGGUUUACCUGUUUUUUAUAAAUAUGAUCAAAAUAAAGAAGAUAUAGGUGAAGAGGCUAAGUAUGAGUAUGAGGCUGCUGAUGAGGCUGAGGUUGAGGCUGAGACUGAGGCUGCUGAUGAGUAUGAGGCUGAGUCUGAAGGAAUUACAUCUGACAUUCUAGAAAUGGAUGAAAAUGAAACAGAAGAACAAUUCAUUAAAAAAAUAAAAUGCCAAUAUUGUAAAUCUAUUUAUAAAGAUCAUAUAAGUACUUAUAAUUAUAGUUUAUUAAAAAAAAAAAUGUUUUUUAAAUUUCUUUCUAAGUUCUAUCACGCCCCACUGUUAACAGAUGUUUUAAACAUAUUUGAUAAUAAAUUGUCAUAUGAUAUUGAAUUAAAAGGUACAAAUGAACAAUUAGGAAAAUAUCUAUUGGAUAUUUUAAAACAUUACCAACAUUUAAAAAUUAAAUUUAGCUCUUUCCAAUGGACACAACAAUACGAAGACAAAGAUAAAACAUGUGUUCAUAUAAAUAGUGACACCAGUGUUGGCACAUGUAGUGAUAAUAGUAACAAUGAUAACAAUGGUAAAAUUACAGAUAAAGAAGUUGAAAGUGUACAAACGGGUGAGGACACUCUUUACCCUCUAUAUAAUGUAGACAAAAUAGAUCAACUAAAAAUACUAAAAAAUAAUUAUUUAAAUAUACCAAUUGCUUUAUUAUUUCCUGAAGAGGAAAAUAUACCAAAUAUAGAAUCAAUUAUAUAUACAAUGAAUUAUUAUAAUGCUGAAUGGGCUCAUAUAUCUUAUAAUAUGAAGAAUCUAAAACUUUUUACAAAAAACAAAAAAAAACAAAAACAAGAGAUAUCAGUUAUAGAAUUAAUAAAUAAGCUACAUACAAAUAAUAAAAAAAUUAUGGUUUAUUGGGGUUCAAAUGAUAAAGGAGAAAAAGAAGAUAUGCAAUUUUAUAUUGAUUUGGAUGUAGAAUCUCUUUGUGUGAAUGAUUUUGAUGUAACUAGAAAAGCCUUACUCAAGACAUAGUUAUUAGUUUUAGGGAUUAAAAAAAAAAAAAAAAAAAAAAGUCUUAUUCAUUAGUGUGUGUACAUACAUAUAUGUAUAUAUAUUAUUCAAUCAUAUCUUAAAUUUUAUGAUCAACAUGUAGGGGUAACACUCCACAAGCAUGCGCAUAUUUUUACAACAUGUUUAUACUCUUUUAACAA
rnacentral:lncRNA from 1 species